AUUGAACGCUGGCGGCAGGCUUAACACAUGCAAGUCGAGCGAGCGGCGGACAGGUGAGUAAUGUCUGGGAAACUGCCUGAUGGAGGGGGAUAAAUACUGGAAACGGUAGCUAAUACCGCAUACCAUCAGAUGUGCCAAGGUGGGAUUAGCUAGUAGGUGGGGUAAUGGCUCACCUAGGCGACGAUCCCUAGCGGGUCUGAGAGGAUGACCAGCCACACUGGACAUGAGACACGGUACAGACUCCUACGGGAGGCAGCAGUGGGGAAUAUUGCACAAUUGGCGCAAGCCUGAUGCAGCCAUGCCGCGUGUGUGAAGAAGGCCUUCGGGUUGUAAAGUACUUUCAGCGAGGAGGCGUUACUCGCAGAAGAGGCACCGGCUAACUCCGUGCCAGCAGCCGCGGUAAUUC
rnacentral:rRNA from 1 species